GUCUCUGGCCAUGCCGCCCUGAUCAAACCUGAUGUCUGGUCUCUGAAGCUAAGCAGGGUCGGGCCUGGUUAGUACUUGGAUGGGAGACCACCUAAGAAGACCAGGUGCUGUAGGCA
rnacentral:rRNA from 1 species